GAUGGCAGUUUGGAGUUUGCUCAAGGUUUCCAGUUAAAAUGUUUCUAUUUUCCUUAAAAACUACCGAAAUUACCAAUACAUUUAUAUGUACAUCGAUGUACAUAUUUAUUAAGUGCCAUCUGCUUGUUGGCACCUGUGUUCCAGCUUCUUUGUUUUUGCCGGUUUUGCAGACCAAAUGAAGUCUUAAUUUGAUAUACUAUAUAUUUUGUCUUUUCUGUUUCCCUAUCAAAUUAUAUUUAUGGAUCAUGGAAAUUCCAAGCUUUCACAACAAGUUCCUGAAGUUUUUACAUCAACCACAGCUUUUGCUACAGAACAUCGACUUUAUGGCCCUAAAUUUUGGAUGAAUACAACAGGUUCUCUCUUCGACUCUUGAGUAAUUGGUACUUCCAACACAGUUGAAGUGUUAAUCAAGUAGUGAUGUACUAUUGUUUCCAUUUUCAACUAAAAGCAUGCAGCAAACUUCCCAAAGCAAGCAGAGACCAUCCGAGCUGAAGGCAAGCUCACCUCUGCAUCCAACCCAAUCCAUCCAGCAGUAAAGAAGCCCUGUUUGCGACAGCCGUAGUCGUGGCCGGUAGGACUUCGACGCCGAAAUUCAACUGCCCUUGGAACUGAAAGACCAAACGAACGUACAGAGUCAGCUCUGGCAAUAGAUUUCCUGACUUCAGAAGUUGGUGAGGUGUUCAGAGAGAUCUGCAAGAUUGGCCAGGACUCGUGUUCAACUGUUCAUCACCAAAUUAUUUCAUGUAGUAAUUUACCUAUGUUUAGUGAACACAAAGAUUCCGAGUCUGAUUCCUUUGUCUAAGUUGAGACAUCACAAUUUUUCUAAAAGGUUUUCUUUUUUGUGUUAGGACGACAUGUUAGGAUUCAUUUUUGACAGAAAAAUUAAAAGAAGUUUUUUUUUGGGGGGAAGGAGGUACUUUGGAUUCUUUAACUUUAUUUCUGAGGGUGGGCGAGGUGACAAGAUUCAAAGUUAACUGUAAGUUCCGUGGCGUUGUAGGACAGCGUCAUUUUGAGGUGACAGAAUUUUCGAGUAUUGUACAUUUCUUAUGUUCAUGUUCCCAGAAAAUUGACUCUUUUAAAGGUUUCUGCCAUGUCAAGCGAUUUCGUAAUGAAUGGUCUCAUUAGAUAUUGUUUUUUAUUAGCUUGACUUUACUUCUCCCCGAGAUUAGUUGCUCCUGACUAGUAAUUGCUAUUUUCCGUAUCGACUUCUUCCUAAUAGUAAUUGCCACAAUCUCUCUCCUGACUGAAUAUCUUGGAUGCAGUUUUAUCACGGCCAUGUUUACAGUUUGACUGAUCGGCGAUUUCACGUAGACAUACAUAUAACACAAAUUUGGAUAAAUUUUGUUCUUUUAUUUGAAGACAUUUCUAAAAAAAUUUUCCGAACAUCAACCAGCUCUUUCUCUUGCUAAAUAAACAAUAUAUAUAUUCGUUUACGAUAUGUAGUGUGUUUAAAAGUAUUGAUUCUUAAAGUUGAAAUGUGAAAUUAAAAACAGAAAUAAAUAGUUGGAAUUGCA